rnacentral:rRNA from 1 species
GACGAACGCUGGCGGCGUGCUUAACACAUGCAAGUCGAACGGAAAGGUCAUGCUCUUGCUGCUUGCUCGUGAGGGGAGCACGUGAGUGACACGUGUGUAUACUCCACCUAUCUUUCGGAUAAAUUCUGGGAACUCGGGCUAAUAUACGAUAUGAUCUCUUGAAGCAUGGUGGUGGAUGGAAAGUUUCGGCUGUUGUGUAUGGAUUCGCGGCUUAUCCGCUAGUUUGUGGGGUAGUGGCUUACAAAGGUUUUGACGGGUAGCCGGCCUGAGAGCGGGGACGGCCACAAUGGGACUGCGAGACGGCCCAGACGCCUACGGGAGGCAGUAGGGGGGAAUAUUGCACAACGAGGGGGAGUCUGAUGCAGCAACGCCGCGUGCGUGAUGACGGCUUUCGGGUUGUAAACCGCUGUCGACUGUGACGAAGCGUGAGUGACGGUAAUGGGUAAAGAAGCACCGGCUAACUACGUG